rnacentral:rRNA from 1 species
UUGUCUCAAAGAUUAAGCCAUGCAUGUCUCAGUACAAGCCAAAUUAAGGUGAAACCGCGAAAGGCUCAUUAAAUCAGUUAUGGUUCCUUAGAUCGUACCCACACUUACUUGGAUAACUGUGGUAAUUCUAGAGCUAAUACAUGCAAACAGAGCUCCGACCGGAGACGGAAGGAGCGCUUUUAUUAGAUCAAAACCAAUCGGUGGCGGGCCUUCGCGGGUUCGUCAUCGUACAACUUGGUGACUCUGAAUAACUUUAAGCUGAUCGCACGGUCUAGCACCGGCGACGCAUCUUUCAAAUGUCUGCCUUAUCAACUGUCGAUGGUAGGUUCUGCGCCUACCAUGGUUGUAACGGGUAACGGGGAAUCAGGGUUCGAUUCCGGAGAGGGAGCCUGAGAAACGGCUACCACAUCCAAGGAAGGCAGCAGGCGCGCAAAUUACCCACUCCCGGCACGGGGAGGUAGUGACGAAAAAUAACGAUACGGGACUCAUCCGAGGCCCCGUAAUCGGAAUGAGUACACUCUAAACCCUUUAACGAGGAUCAAUUGGAGGGCAAGUCUGGUGCCAGCAGCCGCGGUAAUUCCAGCUCCAAUAGCGUAUAUUAAAGUUGUUGCGGUUAAAAAGCUCGUAGUCGAAUCUGUGUCCCGCGCCGCCGGUUCAUCGUCCGCGGUGUUAACUGGCGUGUCGCGGGACGUCCUGCCGGUGGGCUUAGCCUUUCGGGGCGGCGCCCAACUCAAUCCCGCCGCGGUGCUCUUCACUGAGUGUCGAGGUGGGCCGGCACGUUUNCUUUGAACAAAUUAGAGUGCNUAAAGCAGGCUAAAACUUCGCCUGAAUACUGUGUNCAUGGAAUAAUGGAAUAGGACCUCGGUUCUAUUUUGUUGGUUUUCGGANCCCCGAGGUAAUGAUUAAUAGGAACGGAUGGGGGCAUUCGUANUGCGACGUUAGAGGUGAAAUUCUGAUG